CAGUUCACGUAGUUGGCAGGAUCAAAUUUGCUGGCUGGAACUCUGCUCCCCCACCAAGUCUGCUGCAACUGAGAGAUUCUGGAACAGGUGACAAAAGCCAGCAGAAGGAGACCAGGGACACCACUUUCGCUAUACCAUUCUUACCACCUGUGGCAACAAAGAUCUUUUAUUUCCUUAAGACUGUCCUCUGGAAUAAACUUUUUGGAUCUUGCGAGGACGUCAUCCUUGGCACUCUCUUGUGGGACACCCCUUGCAUCCUUGGGACCUAAAACCCAUUCUUUGAAAUGCAUACCUUAGAGAGAAAUUUCUCAUCAGAAGGAACUUCAAAGAAGAGUGAUUCAUGAAAAGGAUUCUGACACUUCUGAUAAACUUUCGACCACACCACUGACGUGGGUAAGAAUUUGCAGAACUCUAACAGAGAAACUGAUGGCUUCAUACAACUGCUAACAAAAGACCAAGAUCAACAAGAAUUAAUCACGUUGGACUAACUAAACUAAUGAAGGCCUAACUCUGGGAACCCAGCAACAUCACCGUUUCCUGAAAUGAGACACAACUGUCUAACUGAACUGACCUAUUCACCGGACUGAGUGACUGGUUCGAUGAGAUGGAUGAAACUAUCAAAUUAGCUUUUGGAUUGUGAAACUUCUUGGGGAAGUUUCAAAGGCAGGACUCUAGGGGGACAGAAUUUGCCACCCCAAAAUAUGUCUCUUUGGUGCAAGGAUUAUUUUAGACUGAUUAUUUUUAAGAAACAGCAGAAAUGGGAGAAGCUCUGAAAACUAAGUAGAAGUUAUCCUUUGUAAAAUUUGUAAGGAAAAUCUCCAUUUGUAAGGGUGUCUCCCUCGCUGUACCAGGAAGAGAGAAAUGACUCAAUCUCUAGAAACACUUAUCAAUGGAG
rnacentral:lncRNA from 1 species